UUUGUAUAUACAAAUAUAUUGUUGGAUUCCAAAGUCACAAAACACAAUAACGUUUAGGAAAUUUUUACAAACACAAAUAUAUUUGAACUCAUUCUUUGCAUGAAUGAUCUGGUAAAACUCAUUUAUAUAUGUCAGCUCUUACAUACACAAAUAUAUUUGAACUCAUUCUUUGCAUGAAUGAUCUGGUAAAACUCAUUUAAAUAUGUCAGCUCUCAGUUGUACUUGUUUAUUUGCAAAAUGUUUAAUCCGUAUUUGUGAGAUUUCCCUAUAACUCAAAUAUGUGCAAACUACAUAUUCUUUAGCAGAACCUGUAAAAUAAUAAACAUAAUGUUAAUUGAGGAAACCAAAAAAAACAGAAAGAACAUUGUUAAAUAUAGAAUGAUAAUUUACCUGACAAAAUAUUUGUACAAUAGGGCUAUGCAUCAAUUGUAGGAAUCCCGUAUGAUAAAAUAUAGAGUGAAGAUAUAAGCACGGGAAAACCCUUAAUUUUAAUGCAUAUGUACAACAAUACCACAAUAUGGGAUUCAUUGUUAAAGGAUCAAGAUGGGAAUACAGUUGGUACAAACAAAAGAUGAGAAAAAAUUAAUUUGCAAGUGCUAUUGGAAUUGAAGAAGUAUAAGGUUUUGCUAAUCUUAUGAACACCAAUAUUAUAGUUUUCUAUAUUCACACAUCAAUUUAAGAGUAUAAAUAACCACUUUGGCAUUAUACAUAAGAGAGAUAGCUAACGAACACAUCAUUAUUAAAGAAAGAAAGAUGGGAUUUAUUGUGCGGUUUACAUAAGAGUUAUUUUUUCCCUCUCUUGUAAAUCAUCACAGUAACACAACUAUUUGUUACUUACUAUCAAACCAACAUCUAAAUCUCUAAUAUCCAUUCACCAUUUACACCAAAGGUUUUCAUCACAUUACUACUUUAAAGAAACUACAUGCAUAUGAAUGAUUCUCCCAAAGUCAGCUCUUUCUUGUUCCUAUAAUAGUUAAGCUUCUACAUUAAAUUGUCCUCAUGUUGAAUCACUUGGUAUGAGUUAAUUUUAAGAUUUAAAGAUUAUUUACAUUAUGCAUAAGUAAAUAUUAUUUUGUUGCAACAGUUUGGAUUCCGUCAACUUACUACGUGUGUAAAGAGAGGGAGUGCCUUUGGAUGGAAGACACAGAACGCUUACAUUUGAAAAAAUGGCAAGAUAUGUGAAAAUCGGUAAAACACAUUACCUAAUAGGACUAAUAUUGCUGAAGCUAAAAGUAUUUUUGGGAUCAUUAGCCUUCAACUGUUAUGUUAAAUGCAUAUGUCGAUUUUAAAGAUGAACACAAAGAUUAGAGCAUGAAAAAGUCAAGUUCUUUUCUUUGCACAAUUAUUAUUAGUUGUGCGAGAUCUCUUUUUAUUUCACAUAUAUGUUGAACAUUUAGGUCCACAAAAUUAUGUGACAAAAAAGAGGCGUGUACGAAAUAAAAUUUUGCAUUGGCAAUGGAAGAAAGGUCUCUUUCUGGUAGGACAAUUGGCUGGGGCCGGGGCAUUAACCUCCAAGGGAAUAACUUUCCAGUAGGCUUUAGUACGUUGGAAAUGAUAUUUAUAUGACAGCUGGAUGCAACAGGGAAGGUAAUUCUUGGAGUAUCACAUUCUAAAGGAAUUUAAAUGACUGGAAUUGGAUAGAAUUUCAGAGUUUCAUAUCAUCCUCUCCUCAGAUUAAGGUUACAGUAACAGAGAAUAUUAAAUGAUAUGAAAAAGGCAGGGAUGUCAUCUAGACAGUAAGAUGAUACUAUAAAUUACAUGGGCAUUUAGGAGAAAAAUUUUAAAAAAAUAGCAAAGGGACUUUCAUAUCUAAUUGAAAAAGUGAAUCCCUGCAUUGUACGAAGAGAUAUUAAUGGCAACAAUAUACUUGUUGAUCAGAAUUUUACACCAAAAAUUGCCGAUUAUGGAUUGUGUAGGCUAUUUCUAGCAAUAAAAAUCCGAAGGUAUAAACAACUGAUUUUCGACUUAAAUGUCCACCGUCGGCGUAUUAUGGAGAAUGAUAGCCUCUUUAGGCGUAAGGUAAUUAAGUGAAUUAAUUAACAACAUAAUCAGCAAUAAACACUCAAAUGUAGAUCCAAAAUGAGCAAAAUGUAGGUUGAACUUACAAUGUUCCAUCACUCGGGUAGUUACGUGGGAAGUUUUAAAAGUUUAGAGUAGAAAUUACUAGCAGAGGAGGAAGUUGAACAACUAUCCAAUAGUAAUUUAUAUGGUCACAGUGAACAUCUAAUAUAGUUUAAACAUCAUAUCACCAAUUUUUUUAUAUACAAAUUUUAUAAAUAUUGUUUUCGAAUGAGUGAGUUUUGAAGGAAGAGAAGUAACCGGAAGUUGAACUAAUAUGCAAUACAAAAAUCCAACGCUACAAUAAGAAUCUAAUAGAAUUUAAAAUCCAUAACACUAAAUUAUAUAUAGACAACAUUUUUAGAUAUAGAUUUUGUCCAUAGAUAUAAGAAUUCUUCUGGUUGAUGAGCGUUAAAUAAUUGCAGGUUCCAUAUUAUUUUAUGCAUGAAUCAUAUUAAAAAGUACAUUACAGAGUGCAAGCAAUGUGAAUUUGUUAAACGAUAAUGAUAUCUUAACCACUAUUAUUGGUUUUCCACAUUAACGGAAUUAGAAAGAUUUGCGACCAUGUCCAUGCAAUCUCAGUAAAUAAUUAAACUCAAUCUUACUCCCUAAUUAAAUCAUAAAGUUCGAACCCUAUAAAUAGUGGCACUGCCAGUUCGAAGCUCAAACAGAAAAAGAAGUGACGUCGUUUAGUGCCUUACCUUGUUUGCCCAGGCCUAUAAAAUUAGAUUAGGCUCCAUAGAAGUUAGUAAGAGUAAAAUAUGUAAGAACAAAGCAUAAAUGAUAAAUAAGUAUAACAGGGUUACAAACCGGGAAUUAUGGAGUGAAAACGACUUUACUCUGAAAUUGUUUGUGGGGGACGGUGUUCUUCAGUUGUCUUCAUUGGCGGAGAGGGAAAUAAUCUUUUUUUGUUGUAAUAGAUAUAACCUCUGCAAAUCAGAAAUAAGGCAAUGAAGGGAGAUGUAGUUGAGUAAAGCAUAGGUUUUUGAAUGUAAGUAAUUAAGAGGCGUGUGUAUUUGAAUAGGGGAAAGGGAAUUGUAAAUGCAGAGAAGUUUGUGUAAAUUGAAGCAGAUGAAACGUAAUUGGUAAUUUAAAGAAGCGGCGCUGGAGGAAGGGAAAGGGAAAAGAAGUGGCGACCAAAGAAUAUGCGAAGCUUUU
rnacentral:lncRNA from 1 species